rnacentral:rRNA from 1 species
ACUCUAGCGAGACUGCCGGUAAUAAACCGGAGGAAGGUGGGGAUGACGUCAAAUCAUCAUGCCCUUAUGACCUGGGCUACACACGUGCUACAAUGGUUGGUACAACGAGUUGCGAGUCGGUGACGGCGAGCUAAUCUCUUAAAGCCAAUCUCAGUUCGGAUUGUAGGCUGCAACUCGCCUACAUGAAGUCGGAAUCGCUAGUAAUCGCGGAUCAGCACGCCCGCGGUCCGAAUACGUUCCGGGCCUU